UUAACGGACCACAAGCUGCGG
rnacentral:misc_RNA from 1 species